CGCGGCCUAUCAGCUUGUUGGUGAGGUAACGGCUCACCAAGGCAUCGACGGGUAGCUGGUCUGAGAGGAUGAUCAGCCACACUGGGACUGAGACACGGCCCAGACUCCUACGGGAGGCAGCAGUAGGGAAUCUUGCGCAAUGGGCGAAAGCCUGACGCAGCAACGCCGCGUGGGGGAUGAAUGCCUUCGGGUUGUAAACCCCUUUCAGCAGGGACGAAAAUGACGGUACCUGCAGAAGAAGCUCCGGCCAACUACGUGCCAGCAGCCGCGGUAAUACGUAGGGAGCGAGCGUUGUCCGGAAUUAUUGGGCGUAAAGAGCUCGUAGGCGGUUCAGUAAGUCGGGUGUGAAAACUCAAGGCUCAACCUUGAGACGCCACUCGAUACUGCUGUGACUUGAGUCCGGUAGAGGAGUGUGGAAUUCCUGGUGUAGCGGUGAAAUGCGCAGAUAUUAGGAGGAACACCAGCGGCGAAGGCGGCACUCUGGGCCGGUACUGACGCUGAGGAGCGAAAGCAUGGGGAGCAAACAGGAUUAGAUACCCUGGUAGUCCAUGCCGUAAACGUUGGGCACUAGGUAUGGGAUCACAUCAACGGAUUCCGUGCCGUAGCUAACGCAUUAAGUGCCCCGCCUGGGGAGUACGG
rnacentral:rRNA from 1 species